GCAUUCAUUUGUAGCUUCCCUAGAAGUAUUUUCAAACUACAAAUCUCAGCUUUGUUAGUUGUUUUCAACUGUGGCAGUCAAGACCCACAUAUUUUAAAAUUAAGUUCGAAGACAGAACAUACUGGAAUGCGUUGGAUGCUGAAAGGUUGAAUUCAACUAUACUGUGUGUAUAGGUGUUUAUCUCCCACUCACACAGUACACGUGGGGAUAUGCGGAAUGACACAAAGUGUUUCUACUAUGAAUCA
rnacentral:lncRNA from 1 species